rnacentral:lncRNA from 1 species
CUCUCAAAAGCCUUGGAGCUCUUCCAAAUUUCAUUCAUAGCUUUCAAUAAAUCAAAAUACAUUUCUAUUUCAAUCGCAUUCAAAUUACAGGCUUGAGAAUACAUUUCUGUUCUGUUUCCUAUUGCUGAAGGUGGAUAAUAAUCACUUCUAUUGGUGUGAUUAGGUUGAGUACGAGUUUGGGAUCAACUUAGCAGCUAUUGGAAUCUGCAGAUCAGUCCAGGUACCUAUCAAAUUGGUAUCAGAGUAGUCAUCCUGGGGAAAUGACGUUGACAGAUCGGGUGGGCCUUUGGAAGCCAGAAUUGAAGGAAUCCAAGGAGAAUUGCAGGAAGGAAUGGGUAUUAUGCAGUCGGAAUUACAGAGAGAUUUGUUGGAAAUGAAGGAGAAGUUUGAAUCGAUGAUGCGGAAAUGGGAUGGGAACGAAUGGGAAAGGAAGGAAAAGGGAAUAACUAAAAACUUAUCAGAUUUGAAAUGGUGGUGGAGUAAUGCCUCCUGAAUCUAUCUGCAACCUUUAGUGUUUCUGCUAUUCCGACGGAUAUGUGCAACAUGAAAAAUGAGGGCGAGGUUUUCUCCCCCGUUUUACCUCCGGUGUGAGAAUCAGUAGGUGUGUUAGGAGAAAAUAAAUUCGGAGUUUAGAUAAGUAAAAAAUAUGCAAUCAUCCAUAUGUGUAUCACCUUUGGGAGGUAUUUAUAGACAUUAGAAGCCGAGUGAGAGCCGGGUGGCUGUGGUGCCACGUGUCCCACGUUGACCUUCCCAUUAUCCUCACGUUCUGAGUGGGGGGUUUUAACUACCCCACGGAGGUUGUGUUCGUGGUGACCGCCAUGUAACUUUAUUAAUUCAUCAGAGAUUUUGUGGCUAAGUGUUGAGAUGACCUUAUAGGAAAUUCCAUGUCGAUCGCUGGUCUCGUAUAGAGGUAGAGCGUCUUCGGGGGGUGGAUGGUUUCUCGUAGAAGUAGAGCGCCCCUGGGGGGUCUACGGUCUCUCAUGGAGGUAGAGCGCCCCCGGGGGGUCGACGGUCUCUCGUAGAGGUAGACGCACCCUGGGGGGUGAUGACUUCGUAUUGGCGUGUCAUGAUUUACAUUGCAUAUCUUUGGAAGCGAUUUCUUAUGUUAAUCGAUAUCAGGAUUCAACAGUGAUAUCCGGGGAAGCACCUAAAUCCGUAGUAGUUGAAGGAGGAAGUGAAGGCCGGAAUAGGAACUGGGAAUUUGGUAGACAAGGCUCAGGGACGAAAAUUGGAACUACCCAUUUUUUACGGUGACAAUCCUGAUGGGUGGAUUUUUCGAGCAAAGCAUUAUUUGAUCAUGAACCAACUGUCGAGCAGGGAGAAAAUAGAGGUAGCUGCCGUGUGCUUUGAAGGUGAUUCCCUGGCAUGGUUCCAAUGGGAGGAUGGCAGGCGACCCGUGAGGAGUUGGGAAGAAUUGAAACAACUGUUGUUGGAACGUUUUCGACCUUCUUAGGAGGGGUCGAAUUUGGAGAAAUUUUUGGCGCUCAAGCAGGAUGGGAUUGUGAGGGAGCACCGACGGGACUUUGAGAUGUUGGCCGCCCCUUUGUCGAUGGUUCCAAAUGCUGUUCUGGAAGGGAAUUUCACAAAUGGGUUGAAGACAGAAAUACAGGCUGAGAUAAGGAUGCAUAAGCCCAAAGGUCUGGGCCAAUUCCAUGAUUUGGCCCAACGUGUGGAAGACCGAAAUGAGUUCAUUAAACAUGCCCAGUUGGGUGCCGGCCCAAAUAGAUUGAAAUUAAAUUUUUCCAGCCCAAACCCAAGCGGCAACCCUCGAUCUAUUUCCCCCAAUCUGGUAAUGCGACUUCAAGCAUUCUGGCAGCUAGAUCCACAACACACACUAGGUCACAACUUCUUCUAGCGGCGAAGGGGGUUCCGCCGUUCAAGAGACUUACCGACGGCAAGUUGCAGGCAAAACAAGAAGAGGUGCUCUACUAUCGCUGUGAUGAUAAAUACAGCCCCAGGCCACCGUUGUCGAAAUACGGAGUUACAAGUCCUGGUGGUGCAACAAGGGGAAGAAAGGGAGAAUCCGCCGGAUUUGGUGGGGGGGGGGCAAUGAGGCCAAAGAAGAGGUGGAAGGCAUGGUAGAGCUCUCUAUUAACUUGGUGGUUGGUUUGACCACUCCGAAAACUAUGAAACUUAAAGGGUCAAUCCUCGGUCAGCCUGUGUUGGUGCUUAUAGAUUGUGGGGCUACUCACAACUUUAUCUCAGCUGAGUUGGCAAGUAAGCUGCGACUCCCGACUUUAGACACUGCCGGAUAUAGUGUUCUGAUGGGAACCAAACUAUCAGUCACGGGAGGUGGGGUGUGCAAAGGAGUUGUUGUCUCUGUGGCCGAAAUUGAUAUUGUUAACGAUUUCCUUCCUCUCCAGUUAGGAUGUACUGGUGUAAUCUUGGGCAUGAAAUGAUUGGAGAGUUUAGGAAAAAUGCAAGUGAAUUGGGGAAAUUUAACGAUGCAAUUUAAGUUGGGGGGAAAAUCGUCUUGUUGCAAGGUGAUUCUAGCCUCAUUAAGACGCAGGCAUCCUUGAAAACUAUGGUGAAGGCGUUCGAGGAUGGAGGACAGGGAGUAUUGUUGGAACUAGGCAGUAUGGGGGUGGAGAGCGAAGAAGGAGGUUCCGCGGUCCCAAUUGAAAUCACUGAAGUACUGAGACAAUAUCAAGACGUUUGCCAAUGGUCGGACGAGCUUCCUCCGUUUCGGGUUAGGGACCAUGCCAUUAAUUUACCGCUACCCUCACUUCCAGAAAAACGAAAUUGAGCGGCUAGUGCAGGAGAUGUUAGCUGCAGGGAUCAUACAGCCUAGUCUCAGUCCAUUCUCUAGUCUGAUAUUGUUGGCGAAGAAGAAAGAUGGCAGUUGGCGAUUUUGUGUUGAUUACCAUGCUCUCAACAAAAUCACUAUACCGGACCGGUUUCCAAUCUCGGUGAUCGAUGAAAUUUUGGAUGAAUUACAUGGGGCACAAAUUUUUUUGAAGCUGGAUUUAAAGUCAGGGUACCAUCAGAUAAGGGUGAGGCCUCAGGAUAUUCCUAAGACGGCUUUUCGAACACAUGAAGGUCACUAUGAGUUCAUAGUCAUACCCUUCGGGUUGACAAAUGCACUGGCCACUUUUUAGAGCCUAAUGAAUGAAGUGUUCUGGCCCUAUUUGCGGAAAUUCGUGCUUGUUUUCUUCGACGAUAUUUUGGUUUAUAGCAGCUCUGUGGAAGAACACCGAGGUCAUUUGGAAAUAGUGCUUAGAUGCUUACGAGAGCACAAACUAUAUGUCAACAGGAAGAAAUGUCUAUUUGGGUAGCAUAAACUCGAGUAUUUGGGUCACAUAGUGUCUGGCGAAGGGGUAGCAGUGGAUCAAGCCAAAAUUGAGGCAACGCUAAAGUGGCUCACACCCCACACCCUUAAGGAGUUACGAGGCUUUUUGGGGCUCACUGGUUACUACAGCCGUUUUAUGGCAGGCUACGCUAGACUAGCAUCUCCAUUGACUGACUUACUGAAGAAGGAUGGGUUCAGUUGGAAUGAGCAGGCAGAGGAUGCUUUCACCAGAUUAAAGAAGGUCAUGACAGAAGUUCCAGUUCUAGCUUUGCCAGAUUUUUCUCAAGAAUUUGUGGUAGACUGAUGCUUUUGGACAUGGACUGGAGCAGUUUUGAUGCAAAAUCAACAUCCGAUUGCCUAUUUCAGUCAGGUGCUGCCACGUACCGCUCGAAAUAAAUCCGUCUAUGAACGAGAGUUGAUGGCUAUUGUGUUUGCCAUUCAAAAAUGGCAACAUUAUUUGAUGGGACGACACUUUGUGGUAAGGACUGAUCAAAGAAGUUUGAAGUUCCUGCUGAACAACGCAUAGUUAGCGAGGAUCGCCAGAAGUGGGUGACCAAACUUUUGGGGUACGAUUUUGAUAUUCAGUAUCGACCGGGUCGAGAAAAUGGGAUAGCAGAUGCUCUCACAAGAGUUGAGCCAGCUCUGAGUUUUCUAUCUAUCUCUAUUCCAUGGGUGUUACACCUUGAAGAUGUCAAGAAGGAGGUGGGCAGAUGCUGAAUUAAGGGAGAUUGUAGCUGGUUUACAAUCUGGUCAGGUGGUCAGGAUCGGUUACACGUUGACUGAAGGAAUUCUGCGUUACAAAGGUCAAGUAGUCCUGUCCAAAAAUUCACAGUGGGUAGCAGUAAUGUUAGCAGAAUGCCAUGACACUAGAGUUGGGGACAUUCUGGAUUCCUUAAAACUUACAAACGGAUUGCUAGCGAGGUGUGUUGGAGGGGAAUGAAAAAAGACGUUCGGGAUUAUGUGGCACGCUGUGCCAUAUGCCAGCAAAACAAGUAUGAGGCACUAUUCCCUAAAGGGCAAUUGCAGCCACUCUCGAUACCGGACUUGGUGUGGGCAGAUAUUUCUUUAGACUUCAUAGAGGGGUUGCCGAAAUCGGGGGGGAUGGACACCAUACCGGUGGUUGUGGAUUGAUUAAGCAAAUAUGGGCACUUUAUUGGGCUAAAACAUCCCUUCACAGCACAAGUGGUGGCAGAUGUCUUCGUUAGAGAGAUUGUGCGUCUGCACGGGAUACCCCAGUCCAUUGUGUCCGACCGUGACCGGGUUUUCAUGAGUAAAUUCUGGGCAGCUCUUUUCAAGGCACAGGGCACCACACUUAAGCAUAGCACAACAUAUCAUCCACAAACGGAUGGUCAAACAAAGGUUGUUAAUCGUUGUUUGGAAACGUACUUGAGGUAUUUCUCAUCUGCCUGACCCCGUUUUUGUAGUCAGUGGUUACCUUGGGCAGAGUAUUGGUAUAACACUUCUUUUCAUACCGCAAUCAAACACACCCCUUUCCAGAUCAUCUAUGGUCGUGCCCCUCCUCCAGUAUUACCUUUUGAGAAAGGGACAACAGUCUUGUCAGCAGUAGAGCAACUAUUAUUGGAUCGAGAUGAGGUGUUACAUGAACUGAAGCUACAGCUCAGCUGUGCUCAGCAAUUAAUGAAACAGGAGGCAGACGGGCACCAUCGGGACAUUCAGUUUGAUGCGGGAGAUUUGGCAUAUCUCAAGCUUCGUCCCUACCGGCAGAAAUCUGUAGCACUGCGUCCAGUUGCUAAGCUGUCCCCAAGGUAUUUUGGUCCGUUUGAAAUAGAGGUUCGGGUUGGGCAAGUUGCAUAUAGACUGAAACUUCCAGCAGGGGCUACGGUACACCCCGUGUUCCAUGUAUCACAACUCCGUAAAGCUGUUGGUGUUGUUCACACUACUUCCCAACUUCCGACACAACUCACAGCAGAUGGACAGAUUAUUGUAGAACCUGAGGCAGUAUUACAGGUCAGACCAGGGUCUUCUAAUGCAGGGCCAGAGGUUAUGAUCAAGUGGAAGGAUUAUCCAGCAUUUGAGGGUACUUGGGAACCCUUCGAACUGAUACGGAAACAAUUUCCAGACUUCCACGUUGAGGACAAAGUGGAUUUCGGGGGGGCGAGUAAUGAUAGACCCCCGAUUAAAUUCACCUAUGUGAGAAGGGAGAAAGAGGCAGAGCAUAGCAACUAAUUCAGCUUCAGUCAGUUAGUUAUAGUAGGGGUAUUUUGGGAAGAGUCUUUUGUAAGGGGUGGGAAAUAAAUGUAAUGGGGGGAAAGUUGGGGAGGCAUUCACGUGUUUUGUUGAGUCAUUGGGAGAGUCCAGGCCUCUCAAAAGCCUUGGAGACGUUCCAAAUUUCAUUCAUAGCUUUCAAUAAAUCAAAAUACAUUUCUAUUUCAAUCGCAUUCAGAUUACAGGCUUGAGAAUACAUUUCUGUUCUGUUUCCUAUUGCUGAAGGUGGAUAAUAAUCACUUCUAUUGGUGUGAUCAGGUUGAGUACGAGUUCGGGAUCAACUUAGCAGCUAUUGGAAUCUGCAGAUCAGUCCAGGUACCUAUCCCAUUUCCUCACUUUCAUUAAUAACGUUUAGUCUCGUUUUAAGUAUUCAAAUUCCAUUUUGAAAUUUUUUUGGUUGAGUUUUUCCAUUUUCGGGGAUAUACAACAUUUCGUGGUAUAUCUCCAGUGAAAGAACAAAAUAUAUUGAACUGAUAUUGCUUGCAAAAAUUAUUCUUUAGCUACACAGAUUGAAAUUCGUACGGGAAAAUAUUUGAACAAAAACUUCGCUUGACCUGGUGGUGAAC